UACGUAGGUGGCAAGCGUUGUCCGGAUUUACUGGGCGUAAAGAGCGCGCAGGCGGUCGAAUAAGUCGAAUGUGAAAGCCCCCGGCUUAACUGGGGAGGGUCAUUCGAUACUGCUCGACUUGAAGGCAGGAGAGGGUAGUGGAAUUCCCGGUGUAGUGGUGAAAUGCGUAGAUAUCAGGAGGAACACCGGUGGCGAAGGCGGGUCUCUGGGCCGAUACUGACGCUGAGGAGCGAAAGCGUGGGGAGCGAACAGG
rnacentral:rRNA from 1 species